AUUGAACGCUAGCGGGAUGCUUUACACAUGCAAGUCGAACGAGUGGCGGACGGGUGAGUAAUAUAUCGGCACGUUCCCAGUCGCGGGGGCUAACUACUCGAAACAGUGGCUAAUACCGCAUACCCUUGUAUCUGCCGAUAUCGGAUUAGCUAGUUGGUGGGGUACAGGCUCACCAAGGCCCCGAUCCGUAGCUGGUUUGAGAGUCAGAACAGCCACACUGGGACUGAGACACGGCCCAGACUCCUACGGGAGGCAGCAGGGGGGAAUUUUGGACAAUGGGGGAAACCCUGAUCCAGCCAUCCCGCGUGUAUGAGAAGGCCUUCGGGUUGUAAAGUACUUUUGGCAGAGAAGCGGUAUCUGCAGAAUAAGCACCGGCUAACUACGUGCCAGCAGCCGCGGUAAUAC
rnacentral:rRNA from 1 species